AACGCAUCUUGCGCUCCUUGGUAUUCCGAGGAGCAUGCCUGUUUGAGUGUCAUUUAACUUAUCAACCAUGUUUCAUAUCUGGAACGUGGCUUGGAUGUGGGGGCUCUUUUGCAGGCCCUUAUGGGUCGGCUCCCCUGAAACGCAUUAGUGGCAUCUGAGCUGCUACUGUAGGUGUGAUAAAUUAUCUAUGCCUUUGGUACGCUGCAUGAACAGAUCGCGCUGCUCAGAACCAAAACUUGACAAACUUGACCUCAAAUCAGGUAGGACUACCCGCUGAACUUAA
rnacentral:misc_RNA from 1 species